GAGUUUGAUCAUGGCUCAGAUUGAACGCUGGCGGCAGGCUUAACACAUGCAAGUCGAACGGAAGUUACUAGCUUGCUAGUAACUUUAGUGGCGAACGGGUGAGUAACAUUUAGGAAUCUGCCUCAUAACGGGGGAUAGCUCGGGGAAACUCGAAUUAAUACCGCAUACACCCUACGGGGGAAAGGUGGCGCAAGCUGCCGAUAUGAGAUGAGCCUAAAUCAGAUUAGCUAGAUGGUGGGGUAAAGGCCUACCAUGGCGACGAUCUGUAACUGGUCUGAGAGGAUGAUCAGUCACACCGGAACUGAGACACGGUCCGGACUCCUACGGGAGGCAGCAGUGGGGAAUAUUGGACAAUGGGCGAAAGCCUGAUCCAGCCAUGCCGCGUGUGUGAAGAAGGCCAUAAGGUUGUAAAGCACUUUAAGCAGGGAGGAAGAACUUUUAGUUAAUAGCUAAAAGUGGUGACGUUACCUGCAGAAUAAGCACC
rnacentral:rRNA from 1 species